rnacentral:lncRNA from 1 species
CUGUUCGUAGUAGUGGUUGAUUUACAGGUACUGAUGUCGCUUCGUAUACAGGGAAAAUUUCUUUGUAUACGGCGGAUUUGUCGGCGUGCCCGGGGAACGUGACAUCCGGGGCGUGAUAGAUUAAGUUGGUAUCAGAGCUUUGCUGUACGUCGUUGGGACCUAGGAAACCUAAGUUUGGCAAACCUUAGGAAAGCAAGACACGAGAGGCGUAAUUUAAUUGCGAAAGUCAAUGAUUAUUUGUUUUAACUCCUCUUAGAGUAGAGUGAGUGACUGAAGGAGUUUCUGUUUUGGCCUGAAAAAUUAUGUUGGCUGCAGACGACAUAAUUUUGGAGGGAAACA